AUGCCCUCUGAAUUUGAGAGUAGUGUUAAAGAGUUUAUGAAUUCACAAAAGAAUUUUAAUGCUUUGCUUGAAGAGAAAUUGCUUAAAGUUGAUAAUUUGGCUAGGAACGUUGAUAGAAUUUCUCUUGAAAUUGAUUCUUUAAAGCUUAGAUCUAUUCCUCCUAAGCAUGAUAUCAAUGAGUCUCUCAAAGCUAUGAUAAUUUCCAUUGAUGAGUGCAAGGAAAGAACCGCUAGGAUGCGUGCUUCCAAAGAUGCCUUUAUUAAAGCGUGUUCUUCCGAUUCCUAUGAAAAUCAAGAUGAAGAUCUAAAAGUUAUUGAUGUGUCCCCCAUUAAAUCUUUGUUUUGCAAUAUGAAUCUUGAUGAAACUGAA
rnacentral:rRNA from 1 species